GGUGUUGUGGCUCAGCAGUAGAGUGCUCGCCUUGCACGUGUGAGACCCUGGGUUCGAUCUUCAGCAACACAU
rfam:Ictidomys tridecemlineatus contig076404, whole genome shotgun sequence.